rnacentral:rRNA from 1 species
GGUUCAGGAUGAACGCUAGCGACAGGCCUAACACAUGCAAGUCAGGGGCAGCACAAGGAGCAAUCUGAGGUGGCGACCGGCGCACGGGUGAGUAACACGUAUGCAACCUGCCUGUAAGCGGGGAAUAACCCGUUGAAAGACGGACUAAUACCGCAUAAUACUAAAUUACUGCAUGGUAAUUUAUUUAAACAUUUAUGGCUUACAGAUGGGCAUGCGCAUGAUUAGCUAGUUGGAGAGGUAACGGCUCCCCAAGGCAACGAUCAUUAGGGGUUCUGAGAGGAAGGUCCCCCACACUGGUACUGAGACACGGACCAGACUCCUACGGGAGGCAGCAGUGAGGAAUAUUGGUCAAUGGACGAGAGUCUGAACCAGCCAAGUCGCGUGCAGGAAGAAUGUCCCUAUGGAUUGUAAACUGCUUUUGCAGGGGAAUAAAGUGCAUCACGUGUGAUGUUUUGUAUGUACUCUGCGAAUAAGGAUCGGCUAACUCCGUGCCAGCAGCCGC